CAGGGAAGAACACAAUGACGGUACCUGAGGAAUAAGCAUCGGCUAACUCCGUGCCAGCAGCCGCGGUAAUACGGAGGAUGCAAGCGUUAUCCGGAAUGAUUGGGCGUAAAGCGUCCGCAGGUGGCAAUGUAAGUCUGCUGUUAAAGAGUCUAGCUCAACUAGAUAAGAGCAGUGGAAACUACAUAGCUAGAGUACGUUCGGGGCAGAGGGAAUUCCUGGUGUAGCGGUGAAAUGCGUAGAGAUCAGGAAGAACACCAGUGGCGAAGGCGCUCUGCUAGGCCGUAACUGACACUGAGGGACGAAAGCUAGGGGAGCGAAUGGGAUUAGAUACCCCAGUAGUCCUAGCCGUAAACGAUGGAUACUAGGCGUGGCUUGUAUCGACCCGAGCCGUGCCGUAGCUAACGCGUUAAGUAUCCCGCCUGGGGAGUACGCCGGCAACGGUGAAACUCAAAGGAAUUGACGGGGGCCCGCACAAGCGGUGGAGUAUGUGGUUUAAUUCGAUGCAACGCGAAGAACCUUACCAAGGCUUGACAUGUCGCGAAUCUUGAUGAAAGUUGAGAGUGCCUUCGGGAGCGCGAACACAGGUGGUGCAUGGCUGUCGUCAGCUCGUGUCGUGAGAUGUUGGGUUAAGUCCCGCAACGAGCGCAACCCUCGUUUUUAGUUGCCAGCAUUAAGUUGGGCACUCUAGAGAGACUGCCGGUGACAAACCGGAGGAAGGUGGGGAUGACGUCAAGUCAGCAUGCCCCUUACGCCUUGGGCUACACACGUACUACAAUGCUCCGGACAGAGGGCAGCAAGCAUGCGAAUGCAAGCAAAUCCCGGAAACCGGAGCUCAGUUCAGAUCGCAGGCUGCAACUCGCCUGCGUG
rnacentral:rRNA from 1 species